GGCUUUCCCAUUCCUCCGAAGAGAGUUGGUGCAUGUAAGAAGCAAGGUUCCAAAAAAAAAAAGGGCUGAUGCUGCUUACUGAGAUAAGGGACACCGGCAGGCGUCAAAACCAUAGGGCGGUACAAGAAGAGGACAUUGACAUUGUACAGAUAAGAUAUCAGGCCGACUUCAUUGUCCUUGAACAGAAGAAAUUCCAAAUGUUGAAAGUUGGAUCGGUAACCCUUAAGGAAAAUAUCAAACAGAUCCUGAAAGAAACAACGAGGGAAGAGUGAUGUACUAAGUGUGGCCACGUCAUAACUGAAAUAUGCGCCUGACAGAUGCAGUGCCAGUGGCAGGAAACAGGAGGGGAGGAACCAGGGUGGACAGUAAAUGUGAGAGACACAUAGUUAAAGUUCACAUAGUGGAAUAUUAUAUUUUAUUUUGUUUGUAACAUAAUUUAAGCAAAACAUUAUUUGUUCGAAAUGACGGAAAGAAGUUUUGUUCUAAAUG